GACGAACGCUGGCGGCGUGCUUAACACAUGCAAGUCGAACGGAAAGGCCCUGCUUUUGUGGGGUGCUCGAGUGGCGAACGGGUGAGUAACACGUGAGUAACCUGCCCUUGACUUUGGGAUAACUUCAGGAAACUGGGGCUAAUACCGGAUAGGAGCUCCUGCUGCAUGGUGGGGGUCGGAAAGUUUCGGCGGUUGGGGAUGGACUCGCGGCUUAUCAGCUUGUUGGUGGGGUAGUGGCUUACCAAGGCAUUGACGGAUAGCCGGCAUGAGAGGGUGGACAGCCACAUUGGGACUGAGAGACGGCGCAGACUCCUACGGUAGGCAGCGGUGGGGAAUAUUGCACAGUGAGCGGGAGCCUGAUGCGGCAGCGCCGCGAGCGGGAUGACGGCCUUCGGGUUGUAAACCGCUUUCGCCUGUGACGAAGCGUGAGUGACGGUAAUGAGUAAAGAAGCACCGGCUAACUACGUG
rnacentral:rRNA from 1 species